rnacentral:rRNA from 1 species
AUUGAACGCUGGCGGCAGGCCUAACACAUGCAAGUCGAGCGAGCGGCGGACGGGUGAGUAAUGUCUGGGAAACUGCCUGAUGGAGGGGGAUAACUACUGGAAACGGUAGCUAAUACCGCAUACCAUCAGAUGUGCCCAGAUGGGAUUAGCUAGUAGGUGGGGUAACGGCUCACCUAGGCGACGAUCCCUAGCUGGUCUGAGAGGAUGACCAGCCACCUUGAACCGGUAACACGGUCCAGACUCCUACGGGAGGCAGCGGUGGGGAAUAUUGCACAUUGGGCGCAAGCCUAUUGAGGCCGUGCCGGGUGUGUAAAGAGGGCCUUCGGGUUGUAAAGCACUUUCGGCGGGGAGGCGUUACCCGCAGAAGAAGCACCGGCUAACUCCGUGCCAGCAGCCGCGGUAAUAC